rnacentral:rRNA from 1 species
AUUGAACGCUGGCGGCAUGCUUUACACAUGCAAGUCGAACGGGGUGAGGAGCUUGCUCCUCAUCUAGUGGCGAACGGGUGAGUAAUACAUCGGAACGUACCGUGUAGUGGGGGAUAACGUAGCGAAAGUUACGCUAAUACCGCAUACGAUCCACGGAUGAAAGCAGGGGACCUUCGGGCCUUGUGCUAUACGAGCGGCCGAUGUCUGAUUAGCUAGUUGGUGGGGUAAAGGCCCACCAAGGCAACGAUCAGUAGCGGGUCUGAGAGGAUGAUCCGCCACACUGGGACUGAGACACGGCCCAGACUCCUACGGGAGGCAGCAGUGGGGAAUUUUGGACAAUGGGCGCAAGCCUGAUCCAGCCAUGCCGCGUGUCUGAAGAAGGCCUCGGUUGUAAGGACUUUGUUCUAGGAGCGAAAACCCACGACGAGCUAAUAUACUGUUGGG